ACUUAUUUCAUAGGCUGCGUUCCUUAAAACUGUGUAACAGACAUAAAUUCAGACGCUUCACUUCAGUCAUAUAAGUCUUUUUUAUUGUACGUCUCCCGUUGUGUCAUAAAUAAAAGAAGGCUACCAGCCACCAGUCAUCAAAGAGCGUCAUUUCUCAUUGAACACGAGGAAAUUGUGCAGAAGCUCACACAAGAACAGUGUAUCCAUUUGAUCAUCUCCCCAAGUCCCCUGACUGAACCAACUACUCAUUUCACCAGUUCUGAAGAGGAAGGAACUUCAAAGUGUGUUCAGGAAUGUAUAUCUGUGUCAGUUUAGACCUGGAGCAGCAGGUUGGUGCUCCCACUGGUGACCAGAUUGCCAAGACCUGUGGAGAUCCACUGCUGGGCACUACACAGAACUGAAGACCUGAUUUGCACCAUAAAUAGAGCCAAGGGACGUGCUAUGAGUUCACAAGAGCAGCACCAGCACCUAGUAUGUAUGAAUAUAAUAAGAAACAGUUUUUUUGAAGAGAUAGAAAUAUGUGGGGAAAGUAAAGUGAUAAAAUAUGUACAAAAUAUCUACACAUAAAAUCAUAUAUA